rnacentral:snRNA from 1 species
AUGCUUACUUCAGCAGCACAUAUCCUAAAAAUUGAAAUGAAACAGAGAAGAUUAGCAUCUUCUCCCCUGCGCAAGGAUGACAUGCAAAUUCAUGAAGAGUUCUAUAUUUUA